AUUGAACGCUGGCGGUAUGCUUAACGCAUGCAAGUCGAACGGUAGCAGGCCUUCGGGCGCUGACGAGUGGCGGACGGGUGGGUAACGCGUAGGAAUCUGCCUGUUAGUGGGGGACAACGUGUGGAAACGCACGCUAAUACCGCAUACGCCCUACGGGGGAAAGGAGGGGACCUUCGGGCCUUUCGCUAACAGAUGAGCCUGCGUUAGAUUAGCUAGAUGGUGGGGUAAGGGCCUACCAUGGCGACGAUCUAUAGCUGUUCUGAGAGGAAGAUCAGCCACACUGGGACUGAGACACGGCCCAGACUCCUACGGGAGGCAGCAGUGGGGAAUAUUGGACAAUGGGCGAAAGCCUGAGCCAGCAAUACCGCGUGUGUGAAGAAGGCCUUAGGGUUGUAAAGCACUUUCAAUGGGGAGGAAAAAGAGUAAGCUAAUACCUUGCUUAUUGACAUUACCCAUACAAGAAGCACCGGCUAACUCCGUGCCAGCCGCCGCGGUAAUAC
rnacentral:rRNA from 1 species